UACAGAGGUGGCAAGCGUUGUUCGGAAUUACUGGGCGUAAAGGGCGCGUAGGCGGCCCGUCAAGUCCCGUGUGAAAGCCCCCGGCUCAACCGGGGAACUGCACGGGAAACUAGCAGGCUUGAGUUCGGGAGAGGGAAGCGGAAUUUCGGGUGUAGCGGUGAAAUGCGCAGAUAUCCGAAGGAACACCGGUGGCGAAGGCGGCUUCCUGGACCGACACUGACGCUGAGGCGCAAAAGCUAGGGGAGCAAACGGG
rnacentral:rRNA from 1 species